rnacentral:lncRNA from 1 species
AGCUGUGUCUGUCUGUCCGCCUGACUGUCUGCUCUCCUUCAGGAUGCCUUCCGUGCCUUCCAUCAAGAUCUCAAUUUUGUGCGCAAGUUCCUACAGCCCCUGUUGAUUGGAGAGCUGGCUCCGGAAGAACCCAGCCAGGAUGGACCCCUGAAUGCGCAGCUGGUCGAGGACUUCCGAGCCCUGCACCAGGCAGCCGAGGACAUGAAGCUGUUUGAUGCCAGUCCCACCUUCUUUGCUUUCCUACUGGGCCACAUCCUGGCCAUGGAGGUGCUGGCCUGGCUCCUUAUCUACCUCCUGGGUCCUGGCUGGGUGCCCAGUGCCCUGGCCGCCUUCAUCCUGGCCAUCUCUCAGGCUCAGUCCUGGUGUCUGCAGCAUGACCUGGGCCAUGCCUCCAUCUUCAAGAAGUCCUGGUGGAACCACGUGGCCCAGAAGUUCGUGAUGGGGCAGCUAAAGGUGAGGGUGGGGUGGGUGGUCAGCCAGGUGCUGGGUGGCGCUGGGUCUGCCCAAGUGUGUGGGCACAGUCGGGGGCACAGCCUGCCCUGAGAGCCCCCUCCUCCU